GCUAUUGGAGUUCGAUUAAGCCAUGCGAGUCGAGAGUCCUCGGGACUCGGCGUACCGCUCACUAACACGUGGGUAACCUGCCCUAUGCUGGGGAAUAACCUCGGGAAACUGAGAAUAAUGCCCCAUAGCCCACUACGCCUGGAACGGUGAGUGGGUCAAAGCUCCGGCGGGUUAGGAUGGGCCUGCUCCGUAUCAGGUUGUAGGGGGUGUAAAGUACCCUCUASCCAUCAACGCGUACGGGUGUUGGGAGACAUUGCCCGGAGAUGGAUUCUGAGACAYGAAUCCAGACCCUACGGGKUGCAGCAGGCGCGAAAACUUGGCAAUKCGAGCAAUCGUGACCAGGGAACUCCAAGUGCGUAGGGUAAGACCUACGCUUUUCUUGACUCUUCAAAGGUCUUGGAAUAAGGGGUGGGUAAGGACGGUGCCAGCCGCCGCGGUAAUACUCGGCGCCUCAAGUGGUAGUCGCUUUUAUUGGGCMUAAAACGUCCGUAGCCGKUUUGGUGCAUUCGUGGGUAAAUCAACCCGCUCAACGGGUUGAAUUCUGCGAGCUCGGCCAGACUUGGGACCGGGAGAGGUGUGGGGUACUCUCAGGGUAGGGGUAAAAUCCUGUCAUCCUGAGAGGACCACCUGUUGCGAAGGCGCCACACUAGAACGGAUCCGUCGGUCAGGGACGAAACCUAGGGGCUCGAACCGGAUUAGAUACCCGGGUAGUCCUAGGUGUAAACGCUGUGGACUUGAUGUUGGGGGCGCUCCGAGCGCUCUCAGUGUUGAAGCGAAGGUGAUAAGUCCACUGCCUGGGGAGUACGGUCGCAAGGCUGAAACUUAAAGGAAUUGGCGGGGGAGCACUGC
rnacentral:rRNA from 1 species